AACGAACGCUGGCGGCAUGCCUAACACAUGCAAGUCGAACGAAACCUUCGGGUCUAUGGGCGCACGGGUGCGUAAGGCGUGGGAACCUGCCCUUAGGUUCGGAAUAACUCCCCGAAAGGGGUGCUAAUACCGGAUAAUGUCUUCGGACCAAAGAUUUAUCGCCUUUGGAUGGGCCCUCGUUGGAUUAGCUAGUUGGUAGGGUAAAAGCCUACCAAGGCGACGAUCCCUAGCUGGUCUGAGAGGAUGAUCAGCCACACUGGGACUGAGACACGGCCCAGACUCCUACGGAAGGCAGCAGUGGGUAAUAUUGGACAAUGGGCGAAAGCCUGAUCCAGCAAUGCCGCGUGAGUGAUGAAGGCCUUAGGGUUGUAAAGCUCUUUUACCCGGGAUGUUAAUGACGGUACCGGGAGAAUAAGCUCCGGCUAACUCCGUG
rnacentral:rRNA from 1 species